GAAUGUGGCUGCAACACGUUCACCUUCGUCUGAUACUCGCACGAGGGCACGCAGCAACGCGAGCGACAUUCAUCCAGUGAAUGUGGCUGCAACACGUUCACCUUCGUCUGAUACUCGCACGAGGACACGCAGCAAUGCAACUGGGAACAAAAAAGAGAAUGUGUCUGCAUCACCUUUACCUUUACCAUCACCUGCUACUCACACGCCGUACUGUAGGUCUCUUUCAGUUCUCAAAGCAACUGAGACUACUGUGUGUUCAGUUAAAUAGGAACUGUUUUGAGCAAUGGCAU